rnacentral:rRNA from 1 species
UACGGAGGGUGCAAGCGUUAAUCGGAAUUACUGGGCGUAAAGCGUGCGCAGGCGGUUUGUUAAGUCUGCUGUGAAAUCCCCGAGCUCAACUUGGGAAUUGCAGUGGAUACUGGCAAGCUGGAGUACGGUAGAGGAAGGUGGAAUUCCCGGUGUAGCAGUGAAAUGCGUAGAGAUCGGGAGGAACACCAGUGGCGAAGGCGGCCUUCUGGACCAGUACUGACGCUCAUGCACGGAAGCGUGGGGAGCAAACAGG